GAUGAACGCUGGCGGCGUGCCUAAUACAUGCAAGUCGAGCGAACAGACGAGGAGCUUGCUCCUCUGACGUUAGCGGCGGACGGGUGAGUAACACGUGGAUAACCUACCUAUAAGACUGGGAUAACUUCGGAAAACCGGCGCUAAUACCGGAUAAUAUAUUGCACCGCAUGGUUCAAUAGUGAAAGACGGUUUUGCUGUCACUUAUAGAUGGAUCCGCGCCGCAUUAGCUAGUUGGUAAGGUAACGGCUUACCAAGGCAACGAUGCGUAGGCGACCUGAGAGGGUGAUCGGCCACACUGGAACUGAGACACGGUCCAGACGCCUACGGGAGGCAGCAGUAGGGAAUCUUCCGCAAUGGGCAAAAGCCUGACGGAGCAAGGCCGCGUGAGUGAUGAAGGUCUUCGGAUCGUAAAACUCUGUUAUUAGGGAAGAACAAAUGUGUAAGUAACUAUGCACGUCUUGACGGUACCUAAUCAGAAAGCCACGGCUAACUACGUG
rnacentral:rRNA from 1 species